UUAAGCGACUAAGCGUACACGGUGGAUGCCCUGGCAGUCAGAGGCGAUGAAGGACGUGCUAAUCUGCGAUAAGCGUCGGUAAGGUGAUAUGAACCGUUAUAACCGGCGAUUUCCGAAUGGGGAAACCCAGUGUGUUUCGACACACUAUCAUUAACUGAAUCCAUAGGUUAAUGAGGCGAACCGGGGGAACUGAAACAUCUAAGUACCCCGAGGAAAAGAAAUCAACCGAGAUUCCCCCAGUAGCGGCGAGCGAACGGGGAGCAGCCCAGAGCCUGAAUCAGUAUGUGUGUUAGUGGAAGCGUCUGGAAAGGCGCGCGAUACAGGGUGACAGCCCCGUACACAAAAAUGCACAUGCUGUGAGCUCGAUGAGUAGGGCGGGACACGUGGUAUCCUGUCUGAAUAUGGGGGGACCAUCCUCCAAGGCUAAAUACUCCUGACUGACCGAUAGUGAACCAGUACCGUGAGGGAAAGGCGAAAAGAACCCCGGCGAGGGGAGUGAAAAAGAACCUGAAACCGUGUACGUACAAGCAGUGGGAGCACGCUUAGGCGUGUGACUGCGUACCUUUUGUAUAAUGGGUCAGCGACUUAUAUUCUGUAGCAAGGUUAACCGAAUAGGGGAGCCGAAGGGAAACCGAGUCUUAACUGGGCGUUAAGUUGCAGGGUAUAGACCCGAAACCCGGUGAUCUAGCCAUGGGCAGGUUGAAGGUUGGGUAACACUAACUGGAGGACCGAACCGACUAAUGUUGAAAAAUUAGCGGAUGACUUGUGGCUGGGGGUGAAAGGCCAAUCAAACCGGGAGAUAGCUGGUUCUCCCCGAAAGCUAUUUAGGUAGCGCCUCGUGAAUUCAUCUCCGGGGGUAGAGCACUGUUUCGGCAAGGGGGUCAUCCCGACUUACCAACCCGAUGCAAACUGCGAAUACCGGAGAAUGUUAUCACGGGAGACACACGGCGGGUGCUAACGUCCGUCGUGAAGAGGGAAACAACCCAGACCGCCAGCUAAGGUCCCAAAGUCAUGGUUAAGUGGGAAACGAUGUGGGAAGGCCCAGACAGCCAGGAUGUUGGCUUAGAAGCAGCCAUCAUUUAAAGAAAGCGUAAUAGCUCACUGGUCGAGUCGGCCUGCGCGGAAGAUGUAACGGGGCUAAACCAUGCACCGAAGCUGCGGCAGCGACACUAUGUGUUGUUGGGUAGGGGAGCGUUCUGUAAGCCUGCGAAGGUGUGCUGUGAGGCAUGCUGGAGGUAUCAGAAGUGCGAAUGCUGACAUAAGUAACGAUAAAGCGGGUGAAAAGCCCGCUCGCCGGAAGACCAAGGGUUCCUGUCCAACGUUAAUCGGGGCAGGGUGAGUCGACCCCUAAGGCGAGGCCGAAAGGCGUAGUCGAUGGGAAACAGGUUAAUAUUCCUGUACUUGGUGUUACUGCGAAGGGGGGACGGAGAAGGCUAUGUUGGCCGGGCGACGGUUGUCCCGGUUUAAGCGUGUAGGCUGGUUUUCCAGGCAAAUCCGGAAAAUCAAGGCUGAGGCGUGAUGACGAGGCACUACGGUGCUGAAGCAACAAAUGCCCUGCUUCCAGGAAAAGCCUCUAAGCAUCAGGUAACAUCAAAUCGUACCCCAAACCGACACAGGUGGUCAGGUAGAGAAUACCAAGGCGCUUGAGAGAACUCGGGUGAAGGAACUAGGCAAAAUGGUGCCGUAACUUCGGGAGAAGGCACGCUGAUAUGUAGGUGAAGCGACUUGCUCGUGGAGCUGAAAUCAGUCGAAGAUACCAGCUGGCUGCAACUGUUUAUUAAAAACACAGCACUGUGCAAACACGAAAGUGGACGUAUACGGUGUGACGCCUGCCCGGUGCCGGAAGGUUAAUUGAUGGGGUCAGCGCAAGCGAAGCUCUUGAUCGAAGCCCCGGUAAACGGCGGCCGUAACUAUAACGGUCCUAAGGUAGCGAAAUUCCUUGUCGGGUAAGUUCCGACCUGCACGAAUGGCGUAAUGAUGGCCAGGCUGUCUCCACCCGAGACUCAGUGAAAUUGAACUCGCUGUGAAGAUGCAGUGUACCCGCGGCAAGACGGAAAGACCCCGUGAACCUUUACUAUAGCUUGACACUGAACAUUGAGCCUUGAUGUGUAGGAUAGGUGGGAGGCUUUGAAGUGUGGACGCCAGUCUGCAUGGAGCCGACCUUGAAAUACCACCCUUUAAUGUUUGAUGUUCUAACGUUGACCCGUAAUCCGGGUUGCGGACAGUGUCUGGUGGGUAGUUUGACUGGGGCGGUCUCCUCCUAAAGAGUAACGGAGGAGCACGAAGGUUGGCUAAUCCUGGUCGGACAUCAGGAGGUUAGUGCAAUGGCAUAAGCCAGCUUGACUGCGAGCGUGACGGCGCGAGCAGGUGCGAAAGCAGGUCAUAGUGAUCAGGUGGUUCUGAAUGGAAGGGCCAUCGCUCAACGGAUAAAAGGUACUCCGGGGAUAACAGGCUGAUACCGCCCAAGAGUUCAUAUCGACGGCGGUGUUUGGCACCUCGAUGUCGGCUCAUCACAUCCUGGGGCUGAAGUAGGUCCCAAGGGUAUGGCUGUUCGCCAUUUAAAGUGGUACGCGAGCUGGGUUUAGAACGUCGUGAGACAGUUCGGUCCCUAUCUGCCGUGGGCGCUGGAGAACUGAGGGGGGCUGCUCCUAGUUCGAGAGGACCGGAGUGGACGCAUCACCGGUGUUCGGGUUGUCAUGCCAAUGGCACUGCCCGGUAGCUAAAUGCGGAAGAGAUAAGUGCUGAAAGCAUCUAAGCACGAAACUUGCCCCGAGAUGAGUUCUCCCUGACCCUUUAAGGGUCCUGAAGGAACGUUGAAGACGACGACGUUGAUAGGCCGGGUGUGUAAGCGCAGCGAUGCGUUGAGCUAACCGGUACUAAUGAACCGUGAGGCUUAACCUU
rnacentral:rRNA from 1 species